rnacentral:rRNA from 1 species
GAUGAACGCUAGCGGCAGGCCUAAUACAUGCAAGUCGAACGGUGUCUCCGGACAUAGUGGCGCACGGGUGCGUAACACGUAUGCAAUCUACCUUGUACAGAGGGAUAGCCCGGAGAAAUUUGGAUUAAUACCUCAUAGUAUCUUCGGAAGGCAUCUUCUGAUUAUUAAAGUUCCAACGGUACAAGAUGAGCAUGCGUCCCAUUAGCUAGAUGGUAAGGUAACGGCUUACCAUGGCAACGAUGGGUAGGGGUCCUGAGAGGGAGAUCCCCCACACGGGUACUGAGACACGGACCAGACUCCUACGGGAGGCAGCAGUGAGGAAUAUUGGUCAAUGGGCGCAAGCCUGAACCAGCCAUGCCGCGUGCAGGAAGACGGUCCUAUGGAUUGUAAACUGCUUUUAUACGGGAAGAAACACUGCUACGUGUAGCAGCUUGACGGUACCGUAAGAAUAAGCAUCGGCUAACUCCGUGCCAGCCGCCGCCGUAAAAC